CGAACGGUAACAGGAAGCAGCUUGCUGCUUCGCUGACGAGUGGCGGACGGGUGAGUAAUGUCUGGGAAACUGCCUGAUGGAGGGGGAUAACUACUGGAAACGGUGGCUAAUACCGCAUAACGUCGCAAGACCAAAGAGGGGGACCUUCGGGCCUCUUGCCAUCAGAUGUGCCCAGAUGGGAUUAGCUUGUUGGUGAGGUAACGGCUCACCAAGGCGACGAUCCCUAGCUGGUCUGAGAGGAUGACCAGCCACACUGGAACUGAGACACGGUCCAGACUCCUACGGGAGGCAGCAGUGGGGAAUAUUGCACAAUGGGCGCAAGCCUGAUGCAGCCAUGCCGCGUGUAUGAAGAAGGCCUUCGGGUUGUAAAGUACUUUCAGCGGGGAGGAAGGUGUUGUGGUUAAUAACCGCAGCAAUUGACGUUACCCGCAGAAGAAGCACCGGCUAACUCCGUGCCAGCAGCCGCGGUAAUACGGAGGGUGCAAGCGUUAAUCGGAAUUACUGGGCGUAAAGCGCACGCAGGCGGUCUGUCAAGUCGGAUGUGAAAUCCCCGGGCUCAACCUGGGAACUGCAUUCGAAACUGGCAGGCUUGAGUCUUGUAGAGGGGGGUAGAAUUCCAGGUGUAGCGGUGAAAUGCGUAGAGAUCUGGAGGAAUACCGGUGGCGAAGGCGGCCCCCUGGACAAAGACUGACGCUCAGGUGCGAAAGCGUGGGGAGCAAACAGGAUUAGAUACCCUGGUAGUCCACGCCGUAAACGAUGUCUACUUGGAGGUUGUGCCCUUGAGGCGUGGCUUCCGGAGCUAACGCGUUAAGUAGACCGCCUGGGGAGUACGGCCGCAAGGUUAAAACUCAAAUGAAUUGACGGGGGCCCGCACAAGCGGUGGAGCAUGUGGUUUAAUUCGAUGCAACGCGAAGAACCUUACCUGGUCUUGACAUCCACAGAAGAAUCCAGAGAUGGAUUGGUGCCUUCGGGAACUGUGAGACAGGUGCUGCAUGGCUGUCGUCAGCUCGUGUUGUGAAAUGUUGGGUUAAGUCCCGCAACGAGCGCAACCCUUAUCCUUUGUUGCCAGCGAUUAGG
rnacentral:rRNA from 1 species